AGAGUUUGAUCCUGGCUCAGGAUGAACGCUAGCGGCAGGCUUAAUACAUGCAAGGGAGGGGGCAGCAAUGUCACCGUCGUACGGGUGCGUAACGCGUAUGCAACCUACCUAUCACUGGGGGAUAGCCCGGGGAAACCCGGAUUAAUACCGCAUAACACAGGGGUCCCGCAUGGGUACUAUUUGUUAAAGAUUUAUCGGUGGUAGAUGGGCAUGCGUUCGAUUAGCUAGUUGGCAAGGGUAACGGCCUACCAAGGCGACGAUCGAUAGGGGAGCUGAGAGGUUGAUCCCCCACACGGGCACUGAGAUACGGGCCCGACUCCUACGGGAGGCAGCAGUAGGGAAUAUUGGGCAAUGGAUGCAAGUCUGACCCAGCCAUGCCGCGUGCCGGAUGAAGGCCCUCAGGGUUGUAAACGGCUUUUAUUCGGGAAGAAGAGCGAGGAUGCGUCCUUGUGUGACGGUACCGAAUGAAUAAGCACCGGCUAACUCCGUGCCAGCAGCCGCGGUAAUACGGAGGGUGCGAGCGUUGUCCGGAUUUAUUGGGUUUAAAGGGUGCGUAGGUGGCUUUAUAAGUCAGUGGUGAAAUACAGCCGCUUAACGGUUGAGGUGCCAUUGAUACUGUAGAGCUUGAAACAAUUGGAGGCUGCCGGAAUGGAUGGUGUAGCGGUGAAAUGCAUAGAUAUCAUCCAGAACACCGAUUGCGAAGGCAGGUGGCCACGUUUGAUUUGACACUGAGGCACGAAAGCAUGGGGAGCAAACAGGAUUAGAUACCCUAGUAGUCC
rnacentral:rRNA from 1 species